AAAAAAAAAAAAAAAAUGUUACAGCUCUGGUACCCAAAACUUUGGGAAACAGUGGAAGGAUAUUUCUAUGUGAAACCACAGAUUUUUUUUUUUUUAAUGAUGCUAUUACUUUGUCAGAAAACUCUUCCAAAACUUUUUUUUUUUUCCUAAAACAUUUGAUAACUGCCUUCAUUUCCCUUUUUGGAGUUCUUAAUGUUAUUAACAUACAGGUGACUUUUUUAUUUUUCAUAUCCUGUUUUGUAUAGGACUUCGUUGUGGAUUUAAGGAUGUCACCUCAAACAGCAGUUGAUGAAAUACUACAUGGUCAUGAAAAUCAUGUUCUUGACAUUUAUUUAAGAAUAUGAGAGAAUGUUUACAACACAGCAGUAAGUAAAAUACAAAUAGAAAAAGAGACCCAUGUUAGAGUAAGAUCUCAGUUCUAUAAAGAACUGAAAUGUGUAUGGAUAUGUGUAUAUUUAAAUGGACUACAUGAAUAUAGACCAGAAUGUUUGUAGUAGUUUCCUCUAGGUGAUGGGGACAGGUGUUUUUUCUUUUCUUCCCUAUGUUUUUCUGUAUUUCCCAAGAUUUCUACAAUGAACACAUACGAUUUUAUAAUCAUAACUACUUUGAAUUAGUGUGAGAAACUGGGGAAUCACUUGGCUUAUCAGAAUUCAGAAUCUGUUUUUCGGUUUUCAUUUCCAAAGUCUCCAUUUUAUCAGUUUAUCCAGAGUACAUCAGUCUUAGGUAAAUGAUUAAAAAUAAUUCAAAAGAGAAAGCUUAUUAAAUAGGUGAGAUAAAUGCUCAGUGCUUCUGUACUAGUGGAUAAAUCCACUUGUAUGAAUAAAAGAUACACUGGAAACUUUUUAGUGAAAUAGAACAAAAUCACAGAGCUAUUAAGUGUCAGGAUUUGGGAAUUCAAAUAUGAAUUUGUGUAUUCCAGAGCCUCUUUCCUUAUAUCAUUACUAUACAAUGAUUGUAGAGGUUUAAGUUAAAAUGAAGUGUUGGAUUUUGGGUCAUUUCAAAGUUACAGCAAGUUAGCAAAUGGGUCAUUCUGAGAAACUACAAAUGUCCAGCCUUGGGAAAGAAGCUGGAACCUGUGAAGUGACAAUUUUAGAGCUAUAGCACUAUUAAUAAUGACAUAUAUAUAUUGCUUUACUCCCCUGCUACCUCAAAAUGUGGCUGUAUUUGGAGAUGAGGCCUUUUAAGAGGUGAUUAAGCUAAAAUGAAGCCAUUAGAAUGGGUCCUAAUACGAUCUGACUGGUGUCCUUGUAAGAGGAAACUUGGACACACAGAGAGACACUAGGGAAGUGUGCGUACAUUGGAAAGACCAUGGGAGAACACAACAAGGUGGCCAUCUAUGAGGCAAGGACAGGCCUUAGAAGAAACCAACCAUGCUGUCACCUUGAUCUUGGACUUCUAGCCUUCAGAACGGUCAGAAAAUUUCUGUUGUUUAAGCUACCCAGUCUGUGGUAUUUUGCUAUGGCGGCCCUAGCAAGGUAAUACAUAUAAACCUCUACUUUUAUAGUUGAAGAAGUCAGAUCACAGGGUGACCUUGACUCAUAGAAGGCAUUUAUGUAUGUCCAUUGGAUGAAUAAAUGCCUUAAAGUCACAAAGAAACUUUCAUUAUUUUUCAAGAUCUUCCUUUAUGAGGACUUUUUGAACUACCCAAAGCGGAGUUAAUGUCCCUAUUUUAAGCACCCUCACACCACUCUGUUCAUGCUACUCUCAUGGCACUCACCCCAACAUAUUACGGUGUUUGGUUACUUAAUGUAUCUUUUUCCUGCUGCUCAAAAAAAACCCCACUUUCACUCUGUAUCCUUUUCCUCAGUGCUUAUCACAGUAUCAGUGGUCCAUAAAUAUCUGUUGAAAUGAGUGACCACCAAAAAAGAAAGGGAAGAACAAACUACACAGAAUAAAAACACUAUUUCCAAUACUAUAUUAGGUUGAAACAUAAGAAAUUAAUAUUUGCUAUUUUCAAAAUACUGAGCAGGAAAACUUGGUGACUUCCACAGAACAUAUCCAAUAAUAAAAAAAAUUAAUUUCUCCUAGUCUUGCUAUUCAUUUUUUGUACAACAGACAUUUGACACAUGCCUGUUACGGCACUAUUCACUACUAAGAGUACUGGAGCUUACAAAGGUGAAUGAGUAAACUUUGCUCCCUGCUAUGAGAGAUUAAUAGUUGAAAGUGGUACCUGAUUUGUCACCACUCGCAUUAAUUGGUGAAAAUAUAAAAGAUGCAUUGGUAUCACUUAGGUCCAAUGGAUUCUAGCAAGUUUUUUCAACAGUUUCCACCUUUAUUAUAAAACAUUUAGUAAAGAGUGGGAUCUGGGGUCAGUCACGCGGUUCAGAGUCUCGGGUGGGUAGCUAUUCUUCUGUGUGCCACAGUUUCAUCCGUAAGCGUGUACAAUGUGCACACAUUGCAGGGUUGUCUACAGUGCCUGGCACAUGGGCUAAAGCAUGUAAACUAUUACACAAAGUUAGAAACUGUACCCUGUUGGACUUGCUUUCCGAAGGCAAACGGGUCUAAAAUUGUUUUUGGAAAAACAGCUUGUACGGUAUAUGUAUCGUAUGUUUCCUGUUAAGGACCACCAUGGGCUGAUAUGCCCACGAAUGCACGACAGUAAUAGCCCACAUCUCUAUGCAUUACGCACUUUGAAUGACAGAGAACUCACAAGGCCAAACAGUAAAAAAAAAAACAAAACCCAGCCUUAACGUUUCACGAUAUAUAGUGAUUCUUGUCUUUUUGCAGACUAAAGAUUACUGGGAUAACAUUUGAAUGAGGAAGAUUUAAUCCUAAAAUCAGAGGCAUUUUCAAAAAAUGGCGGGAACACAUCUAGCUUUAUAGAAACCAGUGGGCCUAAAAAUAAAAACCAUGACCCCGACGUGAUUCGAACACGCAGCCUUCUGAUCUGGAGUCAGACGCGCUACCGUUGCGCCACGAGGUCCUGCUGGGCUGUAGCUCACGCAAUUUCUUAGAACUCCGGUAACAUGGCGUCUCUUCCGGGCACGCCUCGCCUUGUCUUCCAUUCUCUCCCUGCCCCUCCAUCCAGUUUAGGUCGAACUGGAGACUGAUUCUUUUAGUGCCAAGAUUUUCCUCACAGCUGUCCCUCUACCUAGGCAAGGAUGGAACUAGCAGAGGCGGGAGAAUGGAGUUUCCCUUUUAGUCGAGUCUCCAGGGUCAAAGGACACCGGUCCUUCCCCUUCUUCUGCAAGCGAUUUCCGUUCUAACCUGCCCGGCUAGGGGCGGAGACUCGGCCCUCAUCUUCCCCACCCCCUCCCCGUUCAGUGAGCUGAGUUCGUGACCUCCGUUUGGAAUUUGGCGGGGGCGCUACUGCGCAUGCGUAGGCCUUUGCCAGCUAGCGUCAGCUACCGGCUGGGUGCGCGCUGUGGGUUUUUAACGAACGUUUUCGUCUUUCUUAACCCUUCUGACAACAGUGUAAAGCGUUUACUCUCGGAGUUGGCUUUUAUCUCACGGUGAGCAUUAAGCUUAAAAGUUACCACUUUGAAAAGACGCGCUUAUAAAAAAUAUCCGCAUGUUGUGUUUGUCAGCCAUGCUGGGCAGUUGAAUUACGCAGAAAAUAGUAGUAGUGGUUAGUAAAAGUAAUAUGUUCUCCCCGUCGGGGAAUUGAACCCCGGUCUCCCGCGUGACAGGCGGGGAUACUAACCACUAUACUAACGAGGAGCUGUUCGUUUCUUUUCUCUCAAGUACUACUUCAAGAAAAAUGUAUAUCGAAGAGGAUUAAUCAUACUUCUGAAUACAAGGUACGGAGGAAAAGCCAAGGAGAGAAAGCAGCCAUCCCUGUCACACGUUCUUGGUGUCAUUUUCCUGAUGCUGACUACGUAUCAGUAUGUAUGAUUUUAUAACUACAGCUAUUUAUUUGAUCCUGGAUAGGCAAAUCGGCUUGGGAGCUGAAGGGAUGUUUUAUGUCAAGAUGCUCUAACUUUG